rnacentral:rRNA from 1 species
GGGUGAGUAACACGUGGAUAACCUACCUAUAAGACUGGGAUAACUUCGGGAAACCGGAGCUAAUACCGGAUAAUAUAUCGAACCGCAUGGUUCAAUAGUGAAAGACGGUUUUGCUGUCACUUAUAGAUGGAUCCGCGCCGCAUUAGCUAGUUGGUAAGGUAACGGCUUACCAAGGCAACGAUGCGUAGCCGACCUGAGAGGGUGAUCGGCCACACUGGAACUGAGACACGGUCCAG